UAAAAUAUAAGCCAUCAUUCUAAGUAUAAGCAAUUAUACCGUGAAACUGCGAAUGGCUCAUUAAAUCAGUUAUCGUUUAUUUGAUAGUACCUACUACUUGGAUACCCGUGGUAAUUCUAGAGCUAAUACAUGCAAAAAACCCCGACUUUGGGAGGGGUGUAUUUAUUAGAUAAAAAACCAAUGCCCUUCGGGGCUCCUUGGUGAUUCAUAAUAACUUAACGGAUCGCAUGGCCUUGCGCCGGCGACGGUUCAUUCAAAUUUCUGCCCUAUCAACUUUCGAUGGUAAGGUAUUGGCUUACCAUGGUUUCAACGGGUAACGGAUUUUUAGGGAAAGAUCCCGGAGAGGCAGCCUGAGAAACGGCUACCACAUCCAAGGAAGGCAGCAGGCGCGCAAAUUACCCAAUCCUGAUACAGGGAGGUAGUGACAAUAAAUACUGAUACAGGGCUCUUUUGGGUCUUGUAAUCGGAAUGAGUACAAUUUAAAUACCUUAACGAGGAACAAUUGGAGGGCAAGUCUGGUGCCAGCAGCCGCGGUAAUUCCAGCUCCAAUAGCGUAUAUUAAAGUUGUUGCAGUUAAAAAGCUCGUAGUUGAACCUUGGGCCUGGCUGACCGGUCCGCCUCACCGCGUGUACUGGUUCGGCUGGGCCUUUCCUUCUGGAGAACCGCAUGCCCUUCACUGGGUGUGUCGGGGAACCAGGACUUUUACUUUGAGAAAAUUAGAGUGUUCAAAGCAGGCCUUUGCUCGAAUACGUUAGCAUGGAAUAAUAGAAUAGGACGUGCGGUCCUAUUUUGUUGGUUUCUAGAACCGCCGUAAUGAUUAAUAGGGAUAGUCGGGGGCGUCAGUAUUCAAUUGUCAGAGGUGAAAUUCUUGGAUCUAUUGAAGACUAACUACUGCGAAAGCAUUCGCCAAGGAUGUUUUCAUUAAUCAGUGAACGAAAGUUAGGGGAUCGAAGACGAUCAGAUACCGUCGUAGUCUUAACCGUAAACUAUGCCGACUAGGGAUCGGGCGAUGUUUCUUUCUUGACUCGCUCGGCACCUUACGAGAAAUCA
rnacentral:rRNA from 1 species